GACGAACGCUGGCGGCGUGCUUAACACAUGCAAGUCGAACGCGUGGCGAAGGGGUGAGUAACACGUGGGUGAUCUGCCUUGCACUUCGGGGUAAGCUUGGGAAACUGGGUCUAAUACCGGAUAGUGCAAGAUGGGCGCGCGGCCUAUCAUCUUGUUGGUGGGGUAAUGGCUACCAAGUCGCGACGGGUAGCCGGCCUGAGAGGGUGUACGGCGACAUGGGGACUGAGAGACGGCCCAGAGGCGUACGGGAGGCAGCGGUGGGGAAUAUUGCACAAUGGGCGGAAGCCUGAUGCAGCGACGCCGGGUGGGGGAUGAAGGCCUUCGGGUUGUAAACGCCUUUCGACAGGGACGCGGUACCUGUAGAAGAAGCACCGGCUAACUCCGUGCCAGCCGCCGCGGUAAUAC
rnacentral:rRNA from 1 species